rnacentral:rRNA from 1 species
UGGGGAAUUUUGGACAAUGGGGGCAACCCUGAUCCAGCAAUGCCGCGUGUGUGAAGAAGGCCUUCGGGUUGUAAAGCACUUUUGUCCGGAAAGAAAUCCCUUGCCCUAAUACGGCGGGGGGAUGACGGUACCGGAAGAAUAAGCACCGGCUAACUACGUGCCAGCAGCCGCGGUAAUACGUAGGGUGCGAGCGUUAAUCGGAAUUACUGGGCGUAAAGCGUGCGCAGGCGGUUUUGUAAGACAGGCGUGAAAUCCCCGAGCUCAACUUGGGAAUGGCGCUUGUGACUGCAAGGCUAGAGUAUGUCAGAGGGGGUAGAAUUCCACGUGUAGCAGUGAAAUGCGUAGAGAUGUGGAGGAAUACCGAUGGCGAAGGCAGCCCCCUGGGACGUCACUGACGCUCAUGCACGAAAGCGUGGGGAGCAAACAGGAUUAGAUACCCUGGUAGUCCACGCCCUAAACGAUGUCAACUAGUUGUUGGGGAUUCAUUUCUUCAGUAACGUAGCUAACGCGUGAAGUUGACCGCCUGGGGAGUACGGUCGCAAGAUUA